rnacentral:misc_RNA from 1 species
GUGAAUCAUCGAAUUUUUGAACGCAAAUUGCACUCUCUUCGGAGAGUAUGCGUGUGUGAGGGUCAGCCUAUAAAAAAUCAACAUCGUUGCUGUUUCUCGGUGACGUUGGUCGGGAACUGGGCCAUCUUAUAUCUUUUGCGUUUAAGCGACUUAAAAUUUUCAUUUUGGUUCCAUGAACGAUUCUAAUAUUUAUUUCUUUACACGUUUAUGGUAUCGAU